CCCUUAGAUGUUCUGGGCCGCACGCGCGCUACACUGAUCGGUGCAACAAGCAUCCGUCCUUGGCCGACAGGCCCGGGCAAUCUUUGAACGCCGGUCGUGAUGGGGAUAGACCUUUGCAAUUUUUGGUCUUCAACGAGGAAUUCCUAGUAAACGCAAGUCAUCAACUUGCAUUGAUUACGUCCCUGCCCUUUGUACACACCGCCCGUCGCACCUACCGAUUGAAUGGUCCGGUGAAACCUCCGGAUUGGCGCGUGCCCUCGGGCGCCGCCGAGAAGUUGGUUAAACCUUACCAUUUAGAGGAAGGUGAGGUCGUAACA
rnacentral:rRNA from 1 species